AGACCCAAAAAAUAGUUCCUUACAUGCCU
rnacentral:piRNA from 1 species